GAUGAACGCUGGCGGCGUGCCUAAUACAUGCAAGUCGAGCGAACAGACGAGGAGCUUGCUCCUCUGACGUUAUCGGCGGACGGGUGAGUAACACGUGGAUAACCUACCUAUAAGACUGGGAUAACUUCGGGAAACCGGAGCUAAUACCGGAUAAUAUAUUGAACCGCAUGGUUCAAUAGUGAAAGACGGUUUUGCUGUCACUUAUAGAUUGAUCCGCGCCGCAUUAGCUAGUUGGUAAGGUAACGGCUUACCAAGGCAACGAUGCGUAGCCGACCUGAGAGGGUGAUCGGACACACUGGAACUGAGACACGGUCCAGACUCCUACGGGAGGCAGCAGUAGAGAAUCUUACGCAAUGGGCGAAAGCCUGACGGAGCAACGCCGCGUGAGUGAUGAAGGUCUUCGGAUCGUAAAACUCUGUUAUUAGGGAAGAACAAAUGUGUAAGUAACUAUGCACGUCUUGACGGUACCUAAUCAGAAAGCCACGGCUAACUACGUG
rnacentral:rRNA from 1 species